CCUACGGGGUGCUGCAGUGGGGGAUAUUGCACAAUGGGGGGAACCCUGAUGCAGCGACGCCGCGUGGGUGAAGGAGCGUUUCGGCGCGUAAAGCCCUAUCGGCAGGGAAGAAGGAGGUCGGUACCUGACUAAGAAGCCCCGGCUAACUACGUGCCAGCAGCCGCGGUAAUACGGAGGGGGCAAGCGUGAUUCGGAGUUACUGGGGGUAAAGGGGGCGCAGGUGGUAGGGUAAGCCAGGAGUGAAAGCCCCGGGCCCAACCCCGGGACUGCUCUUGGAACUGGCCGGCUGGAGGGCCGGAGGGGGAGGCAGAAUUCCUGGUGGAGCGGUGAAAUGCGUAGAGAUCAGGAGGAACACCGGUGGCGAAGGCGGCCUGCUGGACUGCGACUGACGUUGAGGCCCGAAAGCGUGGGGAGCAAACAGGAUUAGAUACCCGAGUAGUC
rnacentral:rRNA from 1 species